UGUCUCAUACAAGCCAAUUAAGGUGAAACCGCGAAAGGCUCAUUAAAUCAGUUAUGGUUCCUUAGAUCGUACCCACAUUACUUGGAUAACUGUGGUAAUUCUAGAGCUAAUACAUGCAAACAGAGCUCCGACCGGAGACGGAAGGAGCGCUUUUAUUAGAUCAAAACCAAUCGGUGGCGGUUUUCCGUCAUCGUACAACUUGGUGACUCUGAAUAACUUUACGCUGAUCGCACGGUCUUGCACCGGCGACGCAUCUUUCAAAUGUCUGCCUUAUCAACUGUCGAUGGUAGGUUCUGCGCCUACCAUGGUUGUAACGGGUAACGGGGAAUCAGGGUUCGAUUCCGGAGAGGGAGCCUGAGAAACGGCUACCACAUCCAAGGAAGGCAGCAGGCGCGCAAAUUACCCACUCCCGGCACGGGGAGGUAGUGACGAAAAAUAACGAUACGGGACUCAUCCGAGGCCCCGUAAUCGGAAUGAGUACACUCUAAACCCUUUAACGAGGAUCAAUUGGAGGGCAAGUCUGGUGCCAGCAGCCGCGGUAAUUCCAGCUCCAAUAGCGUAUAUUAAAGUUGUUGCGGUUAAAAAGCUCGUAGUCGAAUCUGUGUCCCGCGCCGCCGGUUCAUCGUUCGCGGUGUUAACUGGCGUGCCGCGGGACGUCCUGCCGGUGGGCUUAGCUCGCAAGGGCGGCCCAACUCAAUCCCGCCGCGGUGCUCUUCAUUGAGUGUCGAGGUGGGCCGGCACGUUUACUUUGAACAAAUUAGAGUGCUUAAAGCAGGCUAAAACUUUGCCUGAAUACUGUGUGCAUGGAAUAAUGGAAUAGGACCUCGGUUCUAUUUUGUUGGUUUUCGGAACCCCGAGGUAAUGAUUAAUAGGAACGGAUGGGGGCAUUCGUAUCGCGACG
rnacentral:rRNA from 1 species